rnacentral:rRNA from 1 species
AUUGAACGCUGGCGGCAUGCUUUACACAUGCAAGUCGAACGGGAACAGGGUGCUUGCACCGCUGACGAGUGGCGAACGGGUGAGUAAUGCGUCGGAACGUGCCGAGUAGCGGGGGGAUAACACAGCGAAAGUUGUGCUAAUACAGCAUACGUACUCAGGUAGAAAGGCGGGGACAGUCGGUCCUCACGCUAAUCGAGCGUAUGACGACUGAUUAGCUAGUAGGGGAGGUAAAGGCUCACCUAGGCGACGAUCAGUAGGGGGUCUGAGAGGAUGAUCCGCCACACUGGGACUGAGACACGGCCCAGACUCCUACGGGAGGCAGCAGUGGGGAAUUUUGGACAAUGGGCGAAAGCCUGAUCCAGCCAUGCCGCGUGUCUGAAGAAGGCCUUCGGGUUGUAAAGGACUUUUGUCAGGGAGGAAAUCCCUAGUGCUAAUAACACUGGGGGAUGACAGUACCUGAAGAAUAAGCACCGGCUAACUACGUGCCAGCCGCCGCAGUAA